UAUUUGUGGAAACACAACAGAUUGAUUUUGU
rnacentral:piRNA from 1 species